rnacentral:rRNA from 1 species
ACAGAGGGGGCAAGCGUUAUUCGGAAUUAUUGGGCGUAAAGGGCGCGUAGGCGGUGUCUUAAGUGAGACGUGUAAUCCCCGAGCUUAACUUGGGAACUGCAUCUCAGACUGGGGCGCUCGAGUACUGGAGAAGAUGGAAGAAUUCCAGGUAUAGCGGAGAGAAGCGUAGCGAUGAGGAGGAAUACCAGUGGUGAAGACGGCCCCUUGGGGAGUAACUGUCGCUAAUGCGAGUAACCUUGAGAAGCCAACAA